CCCACCUCCCAUUGGUCAGAACUCAGCCAUCUGACCUCGACCUAAUCAUAGACAGUCCUCAAGUCUAUAGUACUUAAAAAGUGAAAAGUAAAAUGGAAUCAGACGAACACUUAGCAAUGUUUCUGCCACGGCUUAUUUUUGCUUCCCGGGGGAACUCUCACCGUUAAGAAAAAUAAUUAUUGUUAGUAUUAACCAAGUGCUUACCCGGCAGCAGUCCGUAUGCCUACCCUUUGCAUAUAUUAUCUCUUUGAAUGUUCCUCAUGUUCCUUUAUCUCCAUUUUUACAGAUGAGGAAACACUUUUGGAAAAGUGCAGUAACUUGCCCAAGUCAACCAACUGUUAAAUGUGCAUCUGGAUUCAAAUAUGGGCCUGGGUGACUGACUUUCAAGUCCAAGCUCUUAGUUGCUCUGUUGGGAAUCAGGGAUGAUGAUUCUGCAACUCAGUCUCCUCGACAGUAAGCCCAGCCUGUUGCCAUCUCUGUUGAUAUAAACAGCAUUUUCCUGCAGGAGCUGAGCAGAUAUCAGGAACAAAGACAGUUGCCCAAAUCAAUGCAUUCUCCAAACAAACAUGGAGAAGAGAGCAACUGUCCCCAAUACCCCACUGAUGUGAAAUUCUAGAAGCUCCAGUCUCAGCAGAUGGAAUUAAUAGAAUGAUUCAUGUUUCUUCACUACUCUACUGUGGGAUGGGAUGGAGGUGACUCCAUCCUGAGCACCUGCAAUGGCUCAGAAUUCAGUAAAGGAGACAGCAGGCCUCCAGUGGCUGUCCAAAGCUGUGCAUACACAUAUUCCAACAGGGCUCAAUGUGGUCUCUUCUGUGUUGUGGUGCCUCAGGGGACCCUGCUUCUAGAGGACUGAGAGCUCAAAGCAACCUGGUUGGUGCCAUAUGGAAACACAGGAUGCCAGGCUGUGUUGCAUGGACCUGCCUGGGGUCAGGCACUGCAACAGCAGCUUCAUCACAUAAAAAUCUGUGGGUCAUCAUGUCUUCAAAGCCCAGUACAGGGCGAUGACGCUGGCAUGGCCCCCAACCAGACUUCCAGAGAAACACCUCACUGUCAGUGAAAUUCAGGGUUGGGGACAGUUCAUUUUGGAGGCAGCUGGAGAAAAGGGACUCCAAAAAAUAGCUAGCUUGAGAAUGUUCUGCAAGUUGGAAGUUGUGAAUCACUGAAGCUGAAAAACAUCUGAUUCAGCAGUGCCUAGGGCAUUCCAGAAGUUUCAGCUGUCAGGCUUUGGAGUCCAGACAAAAGCAUGUGUGUGGAGCAGAAAGCCAGAUGCAGACCUCUUACCCCGUCCUGCUGGUCAUCUCCAAAGGCAUGGUUGUGGGUUCAAUUGCUAGGAAGUACAGAUGGUCCCUGGAAAUGGGUUCUGCUUAGACUGGCUUCUUAUAAACACGUGUAGCUGAGCACUAUUUUGAUGAAGGAGAGAGACAUGGUGGCUGGGGUAAAGUUGCCUCCCAUUUUAGAGAAACAACUUAUAAUCACAUUCUCAGGUCCUUUGGGGAUCUAGAGUGGUGGGAUCAUGUUGCCCAUGAAGCUACGUUGGAGCUAAUAGGAGUGCUCCCUGUUGAGAAGGAGAUUUCAAAGUGAAGAAACAGAUUGAAAGAGUUCUGCUGUCAAGUGGCCUGUUGGAGAAAAGGGCAUGGAUGAUGAAAAUACAGAUGAGAAAAAGGGCAGCAGUAGGAAAUGAAGACACCCACCUAACACAAUAUCCAGAAGUAGGUGGCAGGAGGAAUGUGCAGCUGCUUGAGCAAGUCGUCCAGGAUCGAGCUCUUCCAGAUUCCUGUGGCACCAUCCUCCACACGUGGCAUUCUUCCUCCUGAUUAUAAGGGCCCAGAACAAUCCCAGGGGCCUUAACUACAGACUCUAAUUGGGCGCAUCAGCAUCACGAGUAGGACUCAACUACUUGUGGACCAAGGUGACACUUAGGAAUCCCAAGAAGCUCCAGCCAUAAAGGGAGUCGGUAUCCUUCCUCCAAUUGUAAACCCCAGCACUCCCACUGAACACACUGGCCAUGCCAAAAGUUCACACAUCGGCCACGCAAAGAGCUCAAAGAGAUCCAUUCAGUACCUGGGAAGGCACGAUCACUACGGGGAGAAUCAGAAACCACGCGAUCGCCAGGUGGCCUUCAAAGAAGCCUCCUCCCAGAAGGUCCAGAAUCCCAUCCAGAGACAUUUCUGUCACUCUUCUCAAGCCACCUCAUCAUCUCUCUCUGCAGUUGAACUGCUGAUGUUUCUGAGAUUGUGGGUUUGUUCAAAAUGAAGCUUGGCAGAAUCAUAAUUUAUAGGCUAAUAUUUUGUAAGUAGAGACAAUUCAUGACUUAGAAUCUUAUGAAUAAAUUGCUCCUGUUUUAUUGCUCUGUGUGUGUGUGUGUGUGGGUGUGGGUGUGGGUGUGGGUGUGUGUGCAUAUAACUUUUCUUUUUCCACGUUUACCUCUUGAGUGGGCCCAUUAAACUGAGAAGUACUGCGUGAGGUCUUGAGAUAGCACAAGCCUUCGCCACCCCUGUAAAGGUGUGACGUGUGUCUAGGCAAAACCCUGGCAGGUCUCCAGGCGGUCCUUCUGAGUUAGGGCUCUGAACACUCUCUCUUAAAGCCCUGAGCUAUGAACACAGCUUUGAACGGGACAGAGAAAGACCAAGUCAGAGGGGGAGCAGCUGUGUCUUUCUCCUCUCUGCUUCAUUAUAGACAAAAUUGACCUCUGGGCCAAGUCUCAUUAACUAAUUGAAGAGUUCAUAGUCACACAGUGUUUCUCAAAACGAGAUUCAGAGAACACGAGCAUCAGAAACACCUGAAGUGUUUGUUGGAAUUGCAGCUACCUGGGCCCCAUUUGGUGCCUGUUGAAUCAGAAUCUGUGGUAUAAGAACCUAAGAUCUGCAUUUCCAAUACACUUAUAAGUUGAGUGUCAAGCACAGUAAAGUUUGGGCAGCCCGUCCCUUAAUCUUUUCACAUCCCGUCAGAUUACAGAUUUAUAUUUUAACAAAAGCCUUUAUUUCCAUAAGCCAACAGGGGAACUUCAGAUACUGCUGUGGGGCAGCAGGGGAGAUGUUGUUAAGCAAAGGGAGAAGGGCUUCCAGCGCCUCUUGAUUUUUUCUGCAGAGGUAGCUGCACAUGCAGCUGGUCAGAGUUUACCUUCUAUGUCCUACCCCUGUGAAUGCACCCCAGAGCUGGAGCACGCAUUGAGGUCAGGGGGGCGCCUACCUGGAAGGACCUACCUGGAAACUGGAUAUCCAGUGAGGAGAGGAGAAGGGGCUGUCAGAAAAUCAGCUCACCUCUAGACGGCGGCAACUCAGAUAAGAGGAGCUUGUACUUCCGGUCUCUCCUCCCUCAUCCCUUUCUGGUUGGGAAAUUUUGUUCAAGCUACCGCUGUAUGCUUCUGUUUUCUCUGAAGAAAAUGGAGACUAAUAUUUAUGCCUGCCUCAAUAAAUACAUUUUUAUUAUAAUUAAUUUUGAAAGGUCCUGAGAUUGGUAGGAAGAUCACGUCCUCAGAGGCAGGUGUUGUGAACAGUGGAUAUGAA
rnacentral:lncRNA from 10 species